AUUGAACGCUGGCGGAAUGCUUUACACAUGCAAGUCGAACGGCAGCACAGACUUCGGUCUGGUGGCGAGUGGCGAACGGGUGAGUAAUACAUCGGAACGUGCCCAGUCGUGGGGGAUAACGUAGCGAAAGCUACGCUAAUACCGCAUACGAUCUACGGAUGAAAGCGGGGGAUGGCAAGACCUCGCGCGACUGGAGCGGCCGAUGGCAGAUGAGGUAGUUGGUGGGGUAAAGGCUCACCAAGCCGACGAUCUGUAGCGGGUCUGAGAGGACGACCAGCCACACUGGGACUGAGACACGGCCCAGACUCCUACGGGAGGCAGCAGUGGGGAAUUUUGGACAAUGGGCGCAAGCCUGAUCCAGCCAUUCCGCGUGCAGGAUGAAGGCCCUCGGGUUGUAAACUGCUUUUGUACAGAACGAAAAGGCUCUGGUUAAUACCUGGGGCUCAUGACGGUACUGUAAGAAUAAGCACCGGCUAACUACGUGCCAGCAGCCGCCGUAA
rnacentral:rRNA from 1 species